rnacentral:rRNA from 1 species
UACGGAGGAUGCGAGCGUUAUCCGGAUUUAUUGGGUUUAAAGGGUGCGUAGGCGGACUGUCAAGUCAGCGGUAAAAUUGAGAGGCUCAACCUCUUCCCGCCGUUGAAACUGGUGGUCUUGAGAGGAUGAGAAGUACGCGGAAUGCGUGGUGUAGCGGUGAAAUGCAUAGAUAUCACGCAGAACUCCGAUUGCGAAGGCAGCGUACCGGCAUCCAACUGACGCUGAGGCACGAAAGCGUGGGGAUCAAACAGG